CCAAUAGCGUAUAUUAAAGUUGUUGCAGUUAAAAAGCUCGUAGUUGAAUUUCGAAAUUUUUUUAUCGGUUGAAUCAACAGGUUCGUACUGAUUUUAAAAAUUUCUACCUUCUGGAGAACCUUAAUGUCAUUUAUUUGAUGUUUUGGGAAACCAGGACUGUUACCUUGAAAAAAUUAGAGUGUUUAAAGCAGGCUUAUGUCUGAAUAUAUUAGCAUGGAAUAAUGAAAUAGGACGGCAUGGUUCUAUUUUGUUGGUUUCUAGGAUCACCGUAAUGAUUAAUAGGGAUAGUUGGGGGCAUUAGUAUUCAAUUGUCAGAGGUGAAAUUCUUGGAUUUAUUGAAGACUAACUUCUGCGAAAGCAUUUGCCAAGGAUGUUUUCAUUAAUCAAGAACGAAAGUUAGGGGAUCGAAGACGAUCAGAUACCGUCGUAGUCUUAACCAUAAACUAUGCCGACUAGGAAUCGGACGAAGUUAAUUUUUUAAUGACUCGUUCGGCGCCUUACG
rnacentral:rRNA from 1 species